AUUGAACGCUGGCGGCAUGCCUUACACAUGCAAGUCGAACGGCAGCACGGGUGCUUGCACCUGGUGGCGAGUGGCGAACGGGUGAGUAAUACAUCGGAACAUGUCCUGUAGUGGGGGAUAGCCCGGCGAAAGCCGGAUUAAUACCGCAUACGAUCUACGGAUGAAAGCGGGGGACCUUCGGGCCUCGCGCUAUAGGGUUGGCCGAUGGCUGAUUAGCUAGUUGGUGGGGUAAAGGCCUACCAAGGCGACGAUCAGUAGCUGGUCUGAGAGGACGACCAGCCACACUGGGACUGAGACACGGCCCAGACUCCUACGGGAGGCAGCAGUGGGGAAUUUUGGACAAUGGGCGAAAGCCUAAUCCAGCAAUGCCGCGUGUGUGAAGAAGGCCUUCGGGUUGUAAAGCACUUUUGUCCGGAAAGAAAUCCUUGGCCCUAAUACGGUCGGGGGAUGACGGUACCGGAAGAAUAAGCACCGGCUAACUACGUG
rnacentral:rRNA from 1 species